rnacentral:rRNA from 1 species
AGAGGUCCCGCCUGCCCAGUGACUUUAGGUUCAACGGCCGCGGUAUUUUGACCGUGCAAAGGUAGCGCAAUCACUUGUCUCUUAAAUGAAGACCUGUAUGAAUGGCAUCACGAGGGCUUAACUGUCUCCUUUCCCCAGUCAACGAAAUUGAUCUCCCCGUGCAGAAGCGGGGAUAAGCUCAUAAGACGAGAAGACCCUGUGGAGCUUAAGGCCUUGAACAGACCUCCCCUUAUUCUGUAAGCAAACACACACACAAACCCUGUCUCACGUGCCUUUGGUUGGGGCGACCGCGUGGAAACAAACCCCCGCAUGGACUGAGGAUUGAACUUUUUUACUUCUCACAACCCAGGAAAACACUCCUAAGUGCCAGAAUUUUUGACCACUCACGAUCCGGUAAUACCGAUUAAUGGACCCAGUUACCCCAGGGAUAACAGCGCAAUUUCCUUCUAGAGACCGUAUCAACAAGGAAGUUUACGACCUCGAUGUUGGAUCAGGGCAUCCUACUGGUGCAGCCGCUUAUAAGGG